AUUAUACUCCCUCCGUUCGGAAUUACUCGUCCAAGAAAUGAAUGUAUCUAGAUGUAAUUUAGUUGUAGAUACAUCCAUUUUUGUGACAAGUAAUUCCGAACGGAGGGAGUAGAUG
rfam:Triticum aestivum genome assembly, contig: Triticum_aestivum_CS42_TGACv1_scaffold_290295_4AL